GAUCCUGGCUCAGGAUGAACGCUAUCUACAGGCUUAACACAUGCAAGUCGAGCGAAGCAAUUUAAGUGAAGUUUUCGGAUGGAUCUUAGAUUGACUGAGCGGCGGACGGGUGAGUAACGCGUGGAUAACCUGCCUCACACAGGGGGAUAACAGUUAGAAAUGACUGCUAAUACCGCAUAAGCGCACAGUACCGCAUGGUAUAGUGUGAAAAACUCCGGUGGUGUGAGAUGG
rnacentral:rRNA from 1 species